UACGGAGGGUGCAAGCGUUGUUCGGAAUCACUGGGCGUAAAGCGCGUGUAGGCGGCCUUUUAAGUCUGAUGUGAAAGCCCGGGGCUUACCCCCGGAAGGGCAUUGGAAACUGGAGGGCUAGAGUACCGGAGAGGAAGGUGGAAUUCCUGGUGUAGCGGUGAAAUGCGUAGAUAUCAGGAGGAACACCGGUGGCGAAGGCGGCCUUCUGGACGGAUAUUGACGCUGAGACGCGAAAGCGUGGGGAGCAAACAGG
rnacentral:rRNA from 1 species